GAUGAAGAACGUAGCGAAAUGCGAUAAGUAAUGUGAAUUGCAGAAUUCAGUGAAUCAUCGAAUCUUUGAACGCACAUUGCGCCCGCCAGUAUUCUGGCGGGCAUGCCUGUCCGAGCGUCAUUUCAACCCUCGAACCCCUCCGGGGGGUCGGCGUUGGGGAUCGGCCCUUUCACCGGGUGCCGGCCCCUAAAUACAGUGGCGGUCUCGCCGCAGCCUCUCAUGCGCAGUAGUUUGCACACUCGCACCGGGAGCGCGGCACGUCCACGUCCGUAAAACACCCCAAACUUCUGAAAUGUUGACCUCGGAUCAGGUAGGAAUACCCGCUGAACUUAAGCAUAUCAAUAAGCGGAGGA
rnacentral:misc_RNA from 1 species